ensembl:misc_RNA Metazoa_SRP Metazoan signal recognition particle RNA
GCUGGGUGUGGUGGCACACGCCUGUGGUCCUAGCUACCUAGGAGGCUGAGGUGGGAUGAUGGCUUGAGCCCAGGAGGCAGAGGUUGCAGUGAGCCAAGAUGGCACCACUGCACUCUAGCCUGGACAACAGAGCCAGACCCUAUCUCAA